rnacentral:rRNA from 1 species
GACGGGGGGGGCAAGUGUUCUUCGGAUUUACUGGGCGUAAAGGGCGCGUAGGCGGUGUGCCAAGUCUCUUGUGAAAUCUCUGAGCUUAACUCAGAACGGCCAAGUGAAACUGUUGUGCUAGAGUGCAGAAGGGGCAAUCGGAAUUCUUGGUGUAGCGGUGAAAUGCGUAGAUAUCAAGAGGAACACCUGAGGUGAAGACGGGUUGCUGGGCUGACACUGACGCUGAGGCGCGAAAGCCAGGGGAGCAAACGGG